CAAGCAAACACUCAAAAAAGGACAAAAAUUUUACGCAAAUUGACAACAGAAGCGACGACACCGAAAACAACCGGGGAAAUGAGGCUGCGGAGCCCAAAUGCCAUGUCAAUAAAAAUAAAAACUGUUCCAGAGCGUCCCAUCUUGUCAGUUGGUCGUAAUUGAAACUCAUUAGCGUGCAUUUUAGUGGCAAGCCUUUCCCCAUUCCGGCCAACCCUUUUUUCGGCGCUUUUCCCUGCUCUAUGGCGCUUAUGCCCCAGCCCCGGUGGGUGGCUUGCAACACUCUGAGUUGGAUCCGGUUUCGGUGGUGGUUAUAUGUGGUGCGUGCGGUUUAUGUGGUAAGUGUGUCAUCA
ensembl:ncRNA lncRNA:CR44671 long non-coding RNA:CR44671